GAUGAACGCUAGCGGCAGGCCUAACACAUGCAAGUCGAGGGGUAGCAGGAUUAAGCUUGCUUAAUUGCUGACGACCGGCGCACGGGUGCGUAACGCGUAUGCAACCUACCUUAUACUGGGGUAUAGCCCGGAGAAAUUCGGAUUAAUCCCCCAUAGUACUAAUGAAUCGCAUGGUUCAUUAGUUAAAGCAUUGCGGUAUAAGAUGGGCAUGCGUCCUAUUAGCUAGAUGGUGAGGUAACGGCUCACCAUGGCUACGAUAGGUAGGGGGCCUGAGAGGGUGGCCCCCCACACUGGUACUGAGACACGGACCAGACUCCUACGGGAGGCAGCAGUGAGGAAUAUUGGUCAAUGGGCGCAAGCCUGAACCAGCCAUGCCGCGUGCAGGAAGAAUGCCCUAUGGGUUGUAAACUGCUUUUAUUUGGGAAUAAACCUCUUUACGUGUAGAGAGCUGAAGGUACCAAAUGAAUAAGCACCGGCUAACUCCGUGCCAGCCGCCGCUGUAA
rnacentral:rRNA from 1 species